CGUUGGAUAAGAUGGACCCGGCUUUGAUAGCCCAUUGGCGGGGUAAACGGCCCACCAAGCCCGGGAUCAUUAGCCGGACUGAGAGGAUGGAUGGCCCACAUGGGGAAUGAGACACGGCCCAGACUCUUACGGGAGGCAGCAGUAGGGAAUAUUGCACAAUGGGGAAACCCUGAUGCAGCGACGCCGCGUGAGUGAAGAAGUAUUUCGGUACGUAAAGCUCUAUCAGCGGGGACGAAGAUGACGGUACCCGCAGAAGAAGUCCCGGCUAACUACGUGCCAGCAGCCGCGGUAAUACGUAGGGGACAAGCGUUAUCCGGAUUUACUGGGUGUAAAGGGAGCGUAGGCGGCAAAGCAAGUCAGAAGUGAAAGCCCGCGGCUCAACUGCGGGACUGCUUUUGAAACUGUUUAGCUAGAGUACUGGAGGGGCAAGCGGAAUUCCUGGUGUAGCGGUGAAAUGCGUAGAUAUCAGGAAGAACACCGGAGGCGAAGGCGGCUUGCUGGACAGAUACUGACGCUGAGGCUCGAAGGCGUGGGGAGCAAACA
rnacentral:rRNA from 1 species